UGGGGAAUAUUGGACAAUGGGCGCAAGCCUGAUCCAGCCAUGCCGCGUGAGUGAUGAAGGCCCUAGGGUUGUAAAGCUCUUUCAACGGUGAAGAUAAUGACGGUAACCGUAGAAGAAGCCCCGGCUAACUUCGUGCCAGCAGCCGCGGUAAUACGAAGGGGGCUAGCGUUGUUCGGAAUUACUGGGCGUAAAGCGCACGUAGGCGGAUACUUAAGUCAGGGGUGAAAUCCCGGGGCUCAACCCCGGAACUGCCUUUGAUACUGGGUAUCUCGAGUCCGGAAGAGGUGAGUGGAAUUCCGAGUGUAGAGGUGAAAUUCGUAGAUAUUCGGAGGAACACCAGUGGCGAAGGCGGCUCACUGGUCCGGUACUGACGCUGAGGUGCGAAAGCGUGGGGAGCAAACAGG
rnacentral:rRNA from 1 species